rnacentral:rRNA from 1 species
AGCGAACGCUGGCGGCAGGCCUAACACAUGCAAGUCGAACGAACCCUUCGGGGUUAGUGGCGGACGGGUGAGUAACACGUGGGAACGUGCCUUUAGGUUCGGAAUAACUCAGGGAAACUUGUGCUAAUACCGAAUGUGCCCUUCGGGGGAAAGAUUUAUCGCCUUUAGAGCGGCCCGCGUCUGAUUAGCUAGUUGGUGAGGUAAAGGCUCACCAAGGCUACGAUCAGUGGCUGGUCUGAGAGGAUGGCCAGCCACAUUGGGACUAAGACACGGCCCAAACUCCUACGGGAGGCAGCAGUAGGGAAUCUUGCGCAAUGGGCGAAAGCCUGACGCAGCCAUGCCGCGUGGAUGAUGAAGGUCUUAGGAUUGUAAAAUCCUUUCACCGGUGAAGAUAAUGACUGUAGCCGGAGAAGAAGCCCCGGCUAACUUCGUGCCAGCCGCCGCAGUAACAC